rnacentral:lncRNA from 1 species
UUUUUUUUUUUUUUUGCCUUCAUUUCUUUUUUAAAAGAUUUUAUUUCUGAGACAGGCAGAGACAUAGGCAGAAGGAGCAGGCCCCCUGUGGGGAGCCUAAUGCGGGACUUGAUUCCAGGACCCCAGGAUUACAUCCUGAGCCAAAGGCAGACAUUCAACCACUGGGCCACCCAGGUGUACCUGCUUUCAUUUUUUAAAAAGAUUUUAUUUGGCAGAGCACAAGCAGGGGGAAUGGCAGGGAGAGGGAGAAGCAGGCUCCCCGUAGAGCAGGGAGCCCAAUGUGGGGCUCCAUCCCAGGACCCUGGGACCUUGAUCUGUGUUGAAGGCAGACGCAUAACCGACUAAGCCACCCAGGUGCCCCUGACGCCUUCAUUUAUAGGUGAAAAUACUGAGACCCAGAGAGAUGAAGGGACUUGCCCAGGGUCACACAGCAAGAGCAAAAACUCAGAAUCUCCUCAGAUCACUCUCAGUCCUAUUGCUCUAGGAAUUAACUUCUAGCUGAGCUAUUCCUCUAGUGUUCUUUUGUAUGCUUUGUAUUUGUCAUUCAUUUGCUUAGCAGAUGUUUAUUGAGCACCUACUAUGCAUUGAGUACACAGUAGGCCCUCAGGACUAUUAGGUACCAGUCCUGGGAGUUAAUGGAAGCAAAAGCAGUCACUGCCUGCCCUCAUGGGGCUUUCAGUCUAGUGGUGAGGGCAGGAAAACUAUAUCUGUGGGAAGUACCAUGAAGGAGAUCAGUGGUAUGGUAAGAAGGACUUGUAAGUGAAUAUUAGUCCAUUUGGGCUGCUAGAACAAAAAUACCAUGGACUGGGUGACUUAUAAACAGAACUUUAUGUCUCAGAGUUGUAGAGGCUGGGAAAUCUUAAGAUCAAGGCACAGACAGACUUGAUUUAUAAUGAGGAUGCACUUGGGUCACAGAUGACUAUUCUCUCACUGUGGCUUCACAGAGUGGAAGGAGUGAGGGAACUCUCUGAAGUCCCUUUUAUAAGGGCACUAAUCCCAUUCAUGAGGGCUCUACUGUUAUGACCUAUCACUUCCCAAAGGCCCUGCCCCCAAAUACUAUCACAUUGGGAAUUAGGUUUCAACAUAGGAAUUUGAGGAGACACAAACAUUUAGUCUGUAACACGAGGGAUGUAACCUAGGUAGGAAGUGCCCUGGAGCCCAAAGCUAAAGGUGAACUAGGAGAAUAGAGGACAGAAGUGUUGGAGGUAGAAGGAGCAGCAUACACAAAGCCCCAUGGCAGGAGCGAGUGAGCAAGCAAGGUGGCUGGAGCAUAGGAAGUGGGGAACACAGCCAGGCAGGAGUUGGGGCCAUACACCUGGCAGGGCUGCACAGGCUGUUAAAGAGUGCUGGGGCUUCUUCACUCAAGGAUUAGAUUUGUGUUUUGAAAAGAUAUCUCCAGUUGUCAAAGGUAAAUGAAUGCCCUGUCCCCAACCCUGUCUCAGCUGAGUUCCUUUCAUUCCAUCUCCUUCUGUCUGCUUUUCUGACUUCAGUCACAUGCUGUUUGGGGUGCUCUCAAUGGGUCUGGUUUCCACUUUUUGUGGCUCUGAGGUGUAUGUGUGCAUUUGGUGUGUGAGUGUGUUGCUAUCGUAUCACUUAUUGAUUCAAUAAAUACUAAGUUAUUAAGUGCUACUGUGAGCCAGGUACUGUUCAGUCAUCACUAUGGGCAACCAACAUGAUGGGUGAUAGUGUGCCCUUGUGUGUGAUGUUGAUGCAUUGUAUCAUUAUAUGUGAGUGCUUGUAUGUAAAUGUGUUGACCAUGUGCUCUAAAUGAUGGCCACUGUGGGUAAUUGUAAGGCUCCUCUCGGUGUCAUUAUGUGUGCCUGCAUUGUGGGUGUUGUGUCUAACUCGAUGUGACAACAACAGCGGGUGUGGCCAGCAUUAUGGGUAGUAGUGUGUGUUGCCGUGCAAUGUUAAUGUAGGACUGUGAUGUGUCUGUGUGUCUGGGGGGCCCCUUGGGAGACCUUAUCUCUUGCAGUAAAUCUAGCAGAGAACGAGCUUCCUGGGACUGUAAGAGGCACUCUCCAUGCCACCUGGGAUGAUUGGUGCAGGGAGUGGAGCCUCCCCUGCUGGUGCUGGAGCAGAGGGGAGGUGAGGGCGCCUGGGCAGGCCUGGCUGGCCAGAUGGGGCCAGAUUAAUAAAGCAGGACCUGGGAGAGGGCAGGCCAGGGCGGGUGGCUUUGGCAGGAGGCGGCUGAGAUGAAAGUGGCCUGACUGGCAGGCAGGCAGGUGGCCUCUCCCCUGCCCUGUCAGCACUUUUUAAUGUCCCCUCGGUUAGAAUGUGUGGGAAGAGUGGGGUGAGGGAGGCUGGAGCUCACCUUUCCCAGGCCCUAGAGGAGGGGCUGGAGCAGCCAGGAGGUAGGGUGGGAGGAAUGCAGUUCUAGGUGUAAUGGAGAGCAGGAGUCCUAGCCUCCUCUGUCCUGUCAGCACCCCUUAACUCCAGCUCUUCAGAGAGGCAGGACGAGGAAGCAGCUGGAGAAACAGAAACCAGGAAGUGGAAGGGGUGACUGAGCCUGUGCGCCUGCAAACAGGUGACAGGAUAUGACUGGGAACCUGUGUCAGCAGAUGAGCAUGAGGCUGAGAUCAUAAGAGUGUGAGCAGGACUGUGUGUGUGUGGGAAUUUAAAUUUUAAAAUAGGAGGCUUGCCUCCUGGCUUUGGCCUGCUGCUGGUGUGUGGCUUUAGAUGGUUCAUUCAUCUGCCCUUAGCUUUGUUGCUUCAUCUCUGAAGUAAGGAUGGGGCUACCUGUUCCACAGAAAUGAUCGUGGGGCUUAAAUAGACUGAAAUAAAUAGACUGAAAUAAAUGGUCAACUGUAAAUCUGUUUAUAAA